AGGUUGGGACGGGCAGCAGUAUU
rnacentral:miRNA from 17 species